rnacentral:lncRNA from 1 species
AGAGCCUUCGAGUGUUAUUGUGUCAUUAAGCAGAUUUAAGAUCAAUAUUUGUGAAAGUAAUCAUUGAUUGAUUGAUGAAUGAUGGCUGAUGUGGAAAACAUUUGAAACUUAGAAAAUAAAUACCAAAACUAAUACCGUAUAAUUCUAUAAACUUACAAAACGUACAAAUUAACAACUAAAAAUGAUUCUCAAGAACUUAACAAAUCAAGCCUAUAGCGAUUUGAUUGGUUUAGCCAGAGAGAAACCGAAAGAAAGUCACCGG